rnacentral:rRNA from 1 species
AUUGAACGCUGGCGGCAGGCUUAACACAUGCAAGUCGAGCGGGGUGAUGGUGCUUGCACUAUCACUUAGCGGCGGACGGGUGAGUAAUGCUUAGGAAUCUGCCUAUUAGUGGGGGACAACAUCUCGAAGGGGAUGCUAAUACCGCAUACGUCCUACGGGAGAAAGCAGGGGAUCACUUGUGACCUUGCGCUAAUAGAUGAGCCUAAGUCGGAUUAGCUAGUUGGUGGGGUAAAGGCCUACCAAGGCGACGAUCUGUAGCGGGUCUGAGAGGAUGGUCCGCCACACUGGGACUGAGACACGGCCCAGACUCCUACGGGAGGCAGCAGUGGGGAAUAUUGGACAAUGGGGGGAACCCUGAUCCAGCCAUGCCGCGUGUGUGAAGAAGGCCUUAUGGUUGUAAAGCACUUUAAGCGAGGAGGAGGCUCUUUUGGUUAAUACCCAAGAUGAGUGGACGUUACUCGCAGAAUAAGCACCGGCUAACUCUGUGCCAGCAGCCGCCGUAA